rnacentral:rRNA from 1 species
CUACGGGAGGCAGCAGUGGGGAAUAUUGGACAAUGGGGGAAUCCCUGAUCCAGCAAUGCCGCGUGUGUGAAGAAGGCCUGCGGGUUGUAAAGCACUUUCGGUUGGGAGGACUGCUUCUAGCACUAAUAUUGUUGGAAGUUGACGUUACCUUCAGAAGAAGCACCGGCUAACUCCGUGCCAGCAGCCGCGGUAAUACAGAGGGUGCAAGCGUUAAUCGGAAUUACUGGGCGUAAAGCGCGCGUAGGCGGCUAGAUCAGUCGGGUGUGAAAGCCCCGGGCUUAACCUGGGAACUGCAUCCGAUACUGUCUAGCUUGAGUACAGGAGAGGAGAGUGGAAUUCCACAUGUAGCGGUGAAAUGCGUAGAUAUGUGGAGGAACACCAAUGGCGAAGGCAGCUCUCUGGCCUGAUACUGACGCUGAGGUGCGAAAGCGUGGGGAGCAAACAGGAUUAGAUACCCGCGUAGUC